GAUCUUGUGGCGCAAUGGCAGCGUAUCAGUUUCCGGAGCUGGGGGUUGUGGGUUCGAAUCCCAUCAAGAUCG